GUUAACGUAGCUUAAAACAAAGCAUGGCACUGAAAAUGCCAAGAUGAACCUUAAAAAGUUCCGAUAGCA
rnacentral:tRNA from 2 species